rnacentral:lncRNA from 1 species
GGCCUUUGUGACCCAAAGAGGGCCGAGUCACACAGAUAAACAGGACACCUCUGAUGGCUUCCACUCUGGACAGCAACAAUGACCCCAGUCACUCCCACCCCAAAGCCAGGGAAACAUCAUCUUGUCACCUCUGGAUUUCUCCUCACCCCCUUGGGUUAAAGCUGAGCAGACAGGGUGGCACUUCUGAAUUCAGAGGCUGCAAUGAGCUGAGAAAAACAAGCAUCUGUGGCCCCCUCCAGGACCCACCAAGUAGAGGGGAUGUUGCCCCGGGUGCUGCAGGAGAUGAGAAACAACACUGAGACUCAGCCGGGUUACGUAAAACAUCCAAAGCUAUGCAGCAGGCUGAUGGCCAGCUGAGACCUAAAUUUAGGCCUCACUGACUCCUACCUUGGGCAUGUAAGCACCAGUUGGAUCAGAUACACCAGGGAAACUGAGGCCCAGAAAGGGAUGUGAUCUGCCCGAUUGUGCAGAAUUCAGAGCCCAGCUGGAACCUGAAUGUCCUGACCCCCCAUCCAGUGCCCCCCUUCCUACUCUAUGCUGCCUCUCGGGUGACACACACAGCAGCAAGUGAGCCCUGCAGACAGAGACAUUCUAGAACCCAGGCCUGGGACCAGUGCUCAGGAGCCAUACUCUCAGCUAGAUUGCCUUCAGCCUGCCAGGAGGAGGAGCAGCCCAGUCCAGACUGAAAGCCUCCAAGGAGGAAGUUCUACCGGCUUCUCCAUGCCUCCAAACCCACUGUACCUUGUGCAUUCCAUCUGGAAUUUUCUUCUGUUGAAAGGAAGGUGCUGGGUGGGAGGAGGAGGGAGAGGAUCAGGAAAAAUAACUAAUAAAUACUAGGCUUAAUAUCUGACACAAGUUUACGUAUAUAACAAACCUGCACAUGUACCCCUGAACUUAAAAGAAAAGUUAAACAAAAAAUAAAGGUGCUGUUGCCAUGGCCCAAGCCACAGCGUCUAGAGCUGUGCCAUCCAAUACGCUAGCUGUUAGCCACAUGCAGCUCCUGAGUACUUGAAACGUGGCUAGAGCAAAUCGAGAUGUGAUGUCACUGUAAAGCAUACACUGGCUUUCGAAGACAGUACAGAAAAAGGUAAAAAGAGAUGGAGGUUUCACUAUGUUGCCCAGGCUGGUAUUGAACUCCUGAAUUCAACCGAUCCUCCUGCCUCAGCCUCCCAAUCUGCUGGAGCUACA